GACGAACGCUGGCGGCGUGCUUAACACAUGCAAGUCGAACGGAAAGGCCCGGCUUUUGUGGGGUGCGCGAGUGGCGAACGGGUGAGUAACACGUGAGUAACCUGCCCUUGACGUUGGGAUAACUUCAGGAAACUGGGGCUAAUACCGGAUAGGAGCUCCUGCUGCAUGGUGGGGGUUGGAAAGUUUCGGCGGUUGGGGAUGGACUCGCGGCUUAUCAGCUUGGUGGUGGGGUAGUGGAAUACCAAGGCUUUGACGGGUAGCCGAGCUGAGAGGGUGACCGGACACAUUGGGACGGGGAUGCGGCACAGACUACUACGGGAGGCAGGAGUGGGGAAGAGUGCACAAUGGGAGGAGGCAUGACGCAGCGCCGCCGCGUGGGGGAUGACGGCAUUCGGGUUGUAAACCGCUUUCGCCUGUGACGAGGCGUGAGUGACGGUAAUGGGUAAAGAAGCACCGGCUAACUACGUG
rnacentral:rRNA from 1 species